AACGCUCACGCUCCCAACUCCUCACGCUCACUCUGCCGAGAGCCCCACGACGACGUCGACUUCAAGAUCAGCUUGGAUAUCGAAUCCACCUUCAGAUCUGCCAACGACACUUCUCCAGCACCUUCAGCGUGUAAGCUCGCUCGCUCGCUCACUCUCUCUCUCUCUCUCGCUUGCUCGAUUCUUCUCCUCAUUUGGGUUUGAUGAUCCCAUUUGACUCCCCUGCUCCGCCUGUUUGUAUCUCGUCUGCUUUUGCUUCCAGGUUCCUUGUUUUUUUUUUUUCCAUGCUCUCGCUAGUUGGUAAUCGAGAUCUGUGAUUGUAUAACCCAUGGCGGAGUGCAAGGGUGAAAUUCGGGGCGGUUGCUUUUUAGCGGUCGAAUGCGUGGGAAUUUGGAGUUCUCCUUAGAAAGCAAGGGGUUUGUGUUGCUUUGCGGGUUUCGCGAGCUGAGAUUCAAUCUGGGUUUUCGAGGUUGGACAGAUUUUUAGUAGUGAGCGGCAAGGGCUGUGGGUUGUGGGUUAUGGGUUGUGGGUCGUGGGUGUUUUUUUUAUGAAUUUCAAAGGACAUACAAUUGGAGUUUUCCGUUCAAUGUUUUGAAUUUCAAUGGACAAGUUCACAAAUAGAAAUACUGCAUUCGCUAUACUGUUGUUUUGUUUCUUCAUUUCUAUCAAGCAUUACCAACAGAAAACUUUUGCAUUCAUCCUUAUGUUGUAAUUUUUAUGUGCCUCUGAAACUGCCUAGUUAACCGCUGCUAACUGUAAAUUGUUUGGAGUUAUGUUCUCUCAGUCUGGUUUGGUUCCUAUUGAAUGAACUUUGGCAUCUGUGGAUUUUUUCUCUUUUAACAUUAUUUGUCCAUAAAUUUUUGUACACCAUGUUUCCUCUUUCGCUUUGCCAGACACCGAUGAAUACAUGCACGUGAUCUUAUGAUGCUUUGCCACAUGAGCAUUGAUUCUGUAAACUUUAUUGGGAGAAAGAGUUGCAUUAUGCUUUUGUAACCAUGACUAGAUAGUUGAAGAAAUGCAAUCGUGCAUGAUUUUUAAGGCUGCUUUGUUUAGCUUGGAAGAGCUGAAAUGAUUUGUUUUCUUUUCUUUUCAACCCAUUGAGCUCACUGCUCACAAACUUGAAACCCAUAAGAUAAUAAUAUUUAGACAAAAUCCAACAACAAUCAUUUCUUAAAGCUUUGUUGUUGACUAUAUAUCAUCAUUCUCUUGUAAAUACUAAUAUGGCAAAAAUGUCAGUGAUCAGCAUCUCCAUAAUGCUUGUGAAUUGUUUGAAUCCCCAAAACAUUUUUUACCGUGAAUUAUUAGUUGGACUACUGUUGGACUACUGAACAUGUUAUUCUCCAUAUUAGAUUUUGGACUAAGAGCAUGCUCCACUUGAAGACUGAGAAUGCAUCGAUAUAUUUCAUUUUCAUGUGUAGCGCAACUAAAUGUGUAAAACUUGCUCUUCCCUUCACUCUUUGAGCACCACUUUUGUUCUGGUUGUAUGAGUGGAAAUCAGCUAUGAAAAUUUGACUUCUUUCUUUAUCAGCUCUCGGAGGCUUGAAGUCAGUAGGGUGGAGUUGCUUCUUCAAGUUGGAGCAUUUUGUGUGGCAGUUGGUGCGUUGAUUGCAGGUACUUUUUCCAUACGGUAUUGGACAAUUUUUUUUUUUUUUGGUAAAGGUAAUAGAUAUAUUGACUUUAAACCAAAAGCUAUACAGCUAUACUCAAAAACAUGGCACCAAGAACUUACACUCAAGAAGACAACAAGUUAGAUCGAGCGGAAGGGUGCCAAGGAGGAGGAAACAACGCACAAAAAUCAUAAACUUGAUGACCCGCGCAGCUAAGCAGUAGCAAGAAAUCAUCUGUAGCAGACAAAGGCAACCCUCACAUACUAGAUGCAGCUCCCAACUUCAACAAUACCCACCCACCGAAGAGCAGCACAAGAAGCUAAUUAGCUAACCGAGCAGCCUACAACUCUCAAGAACCGGCGAAGGCAGCAGCAGCACCAAGAACCCGAACUUACAGGGGAAUAUCGGCAGAAUUAAAAAUGGACGGGUCCAAUCCCCAGCAAUGUUGAAUCCUCCUAUUUCUAUAAGUGUUGCAACAUUUCUGAUAUGACACGUUUACGUGAUCAAAUACUUAUGAAUUUAGGAAGUAAUUAAUGAUAUUUGUAAUUUUUAAUGAUAAUGAGCUUCUUUC
rnacentral:lncRNA from 1 species